CGGCGAACGGAUCGCUCCACACCCAACAACGGUCAUGUCAGACUCGGCCACCUAGAGGCACCCGCAUCGUACUUACCCAGCAUAGCAUCAGUCUGCUCUGGCGGCCUGAUCCUCAAUGGCUUAACCAUCCUGGCGGCGAAAUCGUCGCACAAACGCCACGGCAAUGGCUCAAGCCCCGGGCGGUGAUCUCCACGUGGUCACGCCCAAUCUACCCACAGUACCAAGCUCGGCGGCGAAGUCGUCGCACACACGCCCUAGCUUGUACUAGGGACAUCAAAAGUCCUGGGAUUCCGGAAUCCACUUUCCACAGGUCGAGGGCUCAUAACCAACCCUAUAUCAUCGACCUAACUCAUCCUAGUGGCUAUACCACUAUACUCAUCAACCUAGGUUCCAACACUCUAGGUUCUAUGUCCAUGUCACUUAACCUAGGUACACUUGCUAGGUUCUUGUCCUCUUUGCCUAGAUGUCCAUUUCUAGGUUUACUAGUUCGACCUAGGUUUACUAACGCUAGGUUCGAUGCCACACACCUAGAUUGUUCGACUCUAGGUUUACUACUCAAUCUAUGUUCUUUAACACUAGGUUAGAUGCCACUCGAUCUACCUGACAACCUAGUUGUCCAAUCAACUCUACUCACACUAGAGUUAUCGUUAUUAUCUAC
rnacentral:lncRNA from 1 species